AAUAACGGCAAACUUGCAGAAAUGUAAGGACGCAAAGCUCGGAUUCUAAGGUUAAUGACUAUGAAAGUUCGGUUGC
rnacentral:ncRNA from 1 species